rnacentral:rRNA from 1 species
AUUGAACGCUGGCGGAAUGCUUUACGCAUGCAAGUCGAACGGCAGCACGGACUUCGGUCUGGUGGCGAGUGGCGAACGGGUGAGUAAUGUAUCGGAACGUGCCCAGUCGCGGGGGAUAACGAUGGGAAAUUUACGCUAAUACCGCAUACGAUCUAUGGAUGCAAGCGGGGGAUGGCAAGACCUCGCGCGAUUAGAGCGGCCGAUAUCAGGUUAGGUAGUUUGUGGGGUAAAGGCCCACUAAGACAACGAUCUGUAGCUGGUCUGUGAGGACGACAAGCGACACUGGAACUGAGACACGGGCCAGACUCCUACGGGAGGGAGCAGUGGGGAAUUUUGGGCAAGGGGCGAAAGCCUGAUCCAGCCAUUCCGCGUGCAGGAUGAAGGCCCUCGGGUUGUAAACUGCUUUUGUACAGAACGAAAAGGUUUCUACUAAUACUAGGAGGUCAUGACGGUACUGUAAGAAUAAGCACCGGCUAACUACGUGCCAGCAGCCGCGGUAA